rnacentral:tRNA from 2 species
CCGUCGAUAGCUCAGUUGGUAGAGCGGUGGACUGUAGAUCCAUAGGUCGCUGGUUCGAAUCCGGCUCGACGGG